UGGUGGAGUGAUUUGUCUGCUUAAUUGCGAUAACGAACGAGACCUUAACCUACUAACUAGCCUGUAUUGCUUUGGCAGUACGCUGGCUUCUUAGAGGGACUAUCGGCUCAAGCCGAUGGAAGUUUGAGGCAAUAACA
rnacentral:rRNA from 1 species